AGGGAGGGGGGCCGGAGAAGCGAAAGAGAUAGAUCAAAAAGAGGAAAGAAGAGGGACUGGGAAGCUAGGGCGACUGAGGAUACGCCGAGGUCUAGUCCGGCUUGGCAGCGCGAACUAGAGAGCUUUGCGAGCCGCGGGGCUGGGAAGUCAGGGCAUAAGGGCCAGGCCUGCCCUCUGGUGCUUUCGGCUCCUCGGGCCCCCGACUUUAAAGUGCUCAAGUUGGGGUCGGCGCCAUCAUGACGCCUGAGACUGAGAAGAAAAAGUUACAAGUAAUAGAAGAACUAACUCAUUCAGGAGCCCGAAGAAAGGAACAGAACUUCUAGUGUGAGAUGCUGAGACCGCCUCACUGUGAAAGUGUUUAUACAUGAUUUCACAUACUACGGUUGGACAAGAAGGAACUACUAGGACAGGACAGCAUGAGCCGGAAUCAACUGUAUCAUUGGAAUAUGUAUUUUAGCAACUGACUCUCCUAUGAAAGCAACAGUAAAUUAACAGAGGGUCAAACAACUCAAGAUUCUGUCAGUAAUUAGUUGUUGUGAUGUAUUCAUUGACUUGACUAUCCUGAAGGUUACCCUGACAGCUGGAUUCUGAGUGAGUUCUUCAGGUUGCUUGAGGAAAGGCUAACAUCUGAGUCAGUGAGCACUAUGGCUGACUCUUGGAUAUCAUCUGUAACCCUAUUCCCUUGACAAUGAAUAACACUGAAUUCAAUUAAAAUCUGACCCAAACAAGAAGGAGCCUGAAGCUACAGUCUGUCUACAUGAAAAACAAAUUGGGAACUCAGUAGGAAAAGACACUUGCCUCCUAACCUGACCACCAGGGUUCUAUUCCCUAGACCAGCAUGGUUGAAGAGAAGACAAACUCCCAUAAGGUCUCCUCUGGCUUCAACACUGUCCUCAGGGUCUGCAUCUGGCCACACAUACACAUGUUACCUAAUUCAAUCUUUCAUUAAUAAAGUUCCAAUAAAAGAAGUGA
rnacentral:lncRNA from 1 species